rnacentral:rRNA from 1 species
GGGACACGUGGUAUCCUGUCUGAAUAUGGGGGGACCAUCCUCCAAGGCUAAAUACUCCUGACUGACCGAUAGUGAACCAGUACCGUGAGGGAAAGGCGAAAAGAACCCCGGCGAGGGGAGUGAAAAAGAACCUGAAACCGUGUACGUACAAGCAGUGGGAGCACGCUUAGGCGUGUGACUGCGUACCUUUUGUAUAAUGGGUCAGCGACUUAUAUUCUGUAGCAAGGUUAACCGAAUAGGGGAGCCGAAGGGAAACCGAGUCUUAACUGGGCGUUAAGUUGCAGGGUAUAGACCCGAAACCCGGUGAUCUAGCCAUGGGCAGGUUGAAGGUUGGGUAACACUAACUGGAGGACCGAACCGACUAAUGUUGAAAAAUUAGCGGAUGACUUGUGGCUGGGGGUGAAAGGCCAAUCAAACCGGGAGAUAGCUGGUUCUCCCCGAAAGCUAUUUAGGUAGCGCCUCGUGAAUUCAUCUCCGGGGGUAGAGCACUGUUUCGGCAAGGGGGUCAUCCCGACUUACCAACCCGAUGCAAACUGCGAAUACCGGAGAAUGUUAUCACGGGAGACACACGGCGGGUGCUAACGUCCGUCGUGAAGAGGGAAACAACCCAGACCGCCAGCUAAGGUCCCAAAGUCAUGGUUAAGUGGGAAACGAUGUGGGAAGGCCCAGACAGCCAGGAUGUUGGCUUAGAAGCAGCCAUCAUUUAAAGAAAGCGUAAUAGCUCACUGGUC